GAGGAAGCGGAAAAGAAGAGAAUUUGAAAGGAGUCAGUGGAAGAGGGAGGAAGACUGGAUACUGCUGUGGGCAAUGGAAUAUGCCAAAUUAAAAUACACCAACAACCAGACAAAGAGAAGUGGAGAAUGGCAAAAAAAUAUUCCACCACCACUGCCCAAGUAAAAAAGACACCCUAAGUAAGCAACUCACCACCCAAAAAUCCAACUUUAUCACAAACUUUAUCACAACUUUAUCAAGCAAACCCCUCACACCAAAGAAAAAGUAGGUGUCAAACACAACCCCAACAAAAAAGAAAUCACGCACUGCCCCUCGAAAAAAUGAACCAUUCCCUGCCCCCCGAAAAAA